GAAAACCAUGGAUGUAACCCGUUUGACAACAAGCCCCAGCGCUCACAGUGCAGCUCCACACCGGAGACAGGGCAAGGUAGGGGAAGGACAGCUGUCAAGACUGAUCAGAAGCAGUGUGCGGUGAGACACAGCAGGCCCCGAAACGUGGGCGCCAGGGUCACAAUGCUCCUCUGUACCCCCUGACGUAUGGCAUCCUGGCACUGAUGUGGCCCUGGAAAAUUCUCAGGAUGAAUCCCUGUGCCAAUAGCCUUCAAAUCUUCUCCUCCUGGUAUGGCAUCCUCCGGGUCUCACGCUUAAUAAUCCGGGACUCAGCUUACAACACACUGAAAGAGAGA